rnacentral:rRNA from 1 species
UACGGGGGGGGCAAGCGUUGUUCGGAAUUCCUGGGCGUAAAGGGCUCGUAGGCGGCCAACUAAGUCGGAUGUGAAAUCCCCAGGCUCAACUUGGGAACUGCAUCCGAUACUGGAUGGCUUGAAUUCGGGAGAGGGAUGCAGAAUUCCAGGUGUAGCGGUGAAAUGCGUAGAUAUCUGGAGGAAUACCAAUGGCGAAGGCAGCUCGCUGGGACGUGACUGACGCUGAGACGCGAAAGCGUGGGGAGCAAACAGG